rnacentral:rRNA from 1 species
CCUACGGGAGGCAGCAGUGGGGAAUAUUGGGCAAUGGGCGCAAGCCUGACCCAGCAACGCCGCGUGAAGGAAGAAGGCUCUCGGGUUGUAAACUUCUUUUAUCAGGGACGAAGCAAGUGACGGUACCUGAUGAAUAAGCCACGGCUAACUACGUGCCAGCAGCCGCGGUAAUACGUAGGUGGCAAGCGUUAUCCGGAUGUACUGGGUGUAAAGGGCGUGGAGGGGGGAAAGCAAGUCAGAUGUGAAAACCAUGGGCUCAACCUGUGGCCUGCAUUUGAAACUGUUUUUCUUGAGUACUGGAGAGGCAGACGGAAUUCCUAGUGUAGCGGUGAAAUGCGUAGAUAUUAGGAGGAACACCAGUGGCGAAGGCGGUCUGCUGGACAGCUACUGACGCUGAGGCGCGAAAGCGUGGGGAGCAAACAGGAUUAGAUACCCGAGUAGUC